AGAAAAGAUGAUGUCCUGGGAAGGAGUAGGAUGUAGUCACAUUGUCUGCUCUUGAAUUCGUGGAACUGACAUGUGACUGUUCCUUUGCCAUCCCACAUCCUGCCAGCCUUCUGGUUCUUGAAAGAGCCUCUUUUGCAGAUCCUCCUAUUUACUUGUUUGUCUAUCGACCACGCUGAGAAAGGCUAUGCGGAGCUUGGUUGUUUCGGUUUUCUGCCUGUUUGCUGUAUGCCUGGCUGCUGAGAAAACAGGGAAUUAUGGAGACUGCUAUCACAUUCCCAUUAGUAUCAUGAUUGGAAUUGUAGUUGGAGAUAUUCUUCUUACUGUGCUCCUUCUAAUUCCUGUCUAUUACUGCAUUCGUCCAAAGGAUACAGAACGGAAAGAUAUGGGUAAUAGGAAUUACAUAAACAUGACUGGAAGAAAUAAGUGACUCACAUUUCUCAUCUGAAUACCAUCCCAAGAAUUUCUACUGUAUCAGAGAUGAACAAAAGCAGAACUCCUACAACCCAGA
rnacentral:lncRNA from 1 species